AUUCCAGCUCCAAUAGCGUAUACUAAAGUUGUUGCAGUUAAAAAGCUCGUAGUUGAAUUUCUGGUCUUGGACAGCGGUCUGCCUCAAACGAGGUACGCACCAUCUAUCCGAGUCCAUCCUCGGGGAAAACAUGUCUGUGAUUCAGUUCAUGGGCAUGGGAUCCCCGUCAUUUACUGUGAGCAAAAUAGAGUGUUCAAAGCAGGCUUAUGCCGUUGAAUACAUUAGCAUGGAAUAAUAAGAUAAGACCUUGGUCUACUUUGUUGGUUUGUACUCCAAGGUAAUGAUUAAUAGGGAUAGUUGGGGGUAUUCGUAUUCAAUUGUCAGAGGUGAAAUUCUUGGAUUUAUGAAAGAUGAACUUAUGCGAAAGCAUUUACCAAGGAUGUUUUCAUCG
rnacentral:rRNA from 1 species